rnacentral:lncRNA from 1 species
UCCUGAAGCUAUACAUUAUAAAAAUGAGGCAUGUGUGUGUCACGGUUCUUUUUGCUUCUAAUAGACACUAUGGUAAACCUUUCUUCUCUUAUCCGUUUCUUAUUACGCGGGGCCCAUUUUGAAUUUUCUUAUUACCCUAAGCCAAAGGACAAAUGCAAAACAUGUCAAAUAAUGGCGCGGGAGGGAGCCUUCAGAAGAAAAUAGGUUACUGAAACAGAUAACCGAUAACCGAUAUACACUAUGGCAAUGACGGCAGGAGGUGGUGAUUUAGUUCUGCUUAUUUGUUAGGUACGCCAUUCCAUAGAAAAAUCUUGGACUGAAUUGUCGUAUAUUUCUCUUCUCAUGUCAUUUUUGUUUAGCAGAUGAUAUAUUGGUAAUUGCUCCAUGACUAUUUGGAUCACUGAAAUGGCUACUUACUUCAUCAAUAUGAUUUAUUUGUCGGUCUCAUAUAAUCCCCAUCUCUGUUUCAGAUUUCUUUGGGAGGGAGGGCCUGGUGGAUGUGUGCUAUUUUUGCGGAUGUAGGCUGAGGUUGGGAUACCUUACCGAUCGUGCCGUCUUUGUUAUUCUUACUCCUCGGUUUCUAAGGUUCGCGGUUCCCGUAUGUGUGUUGCAGGUGGGAUUUGUAUCUGCCAUUGGUGGGGUGGAACAUAUUGACUUGGUUUUCAGGAUUUUGUGAUCGGGGUCAGCCGACCUGCUGCAUACAAAUUAUUGGACCAUUCUCUUCUCAUGGCUGCUUCUCCUUUAGAGUCUAUGCAGGUCGAAUCUUUUGUCCUCCCCGUUAUAUUACUUGUGUGCACUUUUUUCCCUGUUUCUGUUGAGAGGGAGUACCAAGUAAAAAAAUGUCAGAUUAUAUUUCUUCUUCUGUUUUAGUUAUGAAGUAACGAACUAUGCUUAUUAUACUCUUCAACAUGUGCAUGGUUAAUACCUGCCUCCCCAUCCCCAGUCCAUUAUGUGAUUUAUAUUUGUUCUGUUUCCUCUUGGAAUGAACUGAUUCCAGUGAAAUAUUUGCAAGAAUCCUGUUCUAAACUUCAUUAGUAAUCUCUGGGGUUUCAGCUUGGUGGUGAGGUGCUUGAGGUAGUGUCUCCGCGUCAGGAACCUGUUCUUAAGCAUGCCAGUACUUCGUGGUGGUGAGGUCUGUCUUGAAGGUCCCGUUGUUUGAUUAUUAAAUACCAAUAGGAGUCGGUCAGUGAACCAGUGAUGCAAUAACAUUCAGGCAAGCAUUGUUCUAUGCAUUUUUAUCGUGGUACGUAGUCUUGAGAAAAGCUUUGGAGAGUUCAAACCAACACUACUCUUGCAUUUUCUGAACUCUCUGUGAAAUAUGCAGUAAAACUCGGUUACAGUGUUUAUCAUUGGAACAUAAACUACAAUAUUGCAUUACUACUAGCUUCAUGGGUAUUAGUUUUCUGAUAACUGUUCUUUCUGAAUGAACCUUUCAUGUAUUCUCACUCAAUGGCCAAGCGGUGAAUGACUAAUCUCUGUUCUAUAGAAUCAUACUGAAUAUAUUCACUCAUUUUCAAGUACUAUUACAGAGCUUUCACAUAUCCUGCUUGACCGGACAACGGUGGUUGUGAAGUCUGUCGAGCAGAUGACCAUGGUGGGGAGGCGGGUGUUCAGCCGCUGAUGGAGGCACUACCCAACCCCUAUGUUUUAUGCAUGUUUCUUUGUGAAAAUUGUGUGAUGAUCAAGUCGAAUGGAAUCUUGAUUAGUCAGAUUGCUUUACUUUUGAUCCACCUGAACUAUCUGUAAUGGAUCAUCAGAUAUCAACAUGCUACCUAUGGGUUCGUAUGUGUUUAUCACCACGAUUAAUAUCCUUUCUUCCAUUGUCAUUUCUCUUACACUUCCUGAUGCCUGCACGAAGCCAACUGUUGGGGAUAUAACUAUUUGUGUAAGCCGCUCAGGAGGGGCCGGGUUACGCAAAAAGGAUUCACCAGAGGGAAGCCCAAGGCCAAGCAUGAAGAUGGCGGUUCAAUAAAGGGCUUAAAGGCCCACAGGCGACUUAAGGCCCGUUGUAGUAAACCGCCGUAAUGGCAUGACUUGUAACAUAAGGUAGAUUUAACUAGUCACCGAGUCGGACACUGUUUAUAAGCCGGCCGGG